GGAGGAUUAGCUCAGCUGGGAGAGCAUCUGCCUUACAAGCAGAGGGUCAUAGGUUCGAUCCCUAUAUCCUCCACC
rnacentral:tRNA from 1 species